rnacentral:rRNA from 1 species
AGGAUAAACGCUGGCGGCGUGCCUAACACAUGCAAGUCGAACGCGCUUUCGGGCUUCGGUGCGAGAGCGAGUGGCGGACGGGUGAGUAACACAUGGGUACCUGCCUUUCAGUGAGGGAUACCGGCGAGAAAUCGCCGACAAUACCGCAUGGGCUUGUGGGAACACAAGCAAAGUGGCGCAAGCCACGCUGGAAGAUGGGCCUGUGGCCGAUUAGCUAGUUGGGGGGGUAACGGCCUCCCAAGGCGACGAUCGGUAGCUGGUCUGAGAGGACGAUCAGCCACACUGGGAUUGAGAACGGCCCAGACUCCUACGGGGGGCAGCAGUGAGGAAUUUUCCGCAAUGGACGAAAGUCUGACGGAGCAACGCCGCGUGCAGGAGGAAGGUUUUCGGAUCGUAAACUGCUUUUCUCGGGGACGAGCAAGGACGGUACCCGAGGAAGAAGCCCCGGCUAACUACGUGCCAGCAGCCGC